CAGGCAGCCCAGGGGAGUUGUGGAGUCUUCUCUGGAGACGCUCAGGAUCUGCCUGGUUGCCUACCUCUGCAACCUGAUGUAGGGAGCCUGCUUUGUGGGGAAGGUGGAGUAGGUGAUUUCUGGAGGUCCCUUCCAGCUUCUGAAAUUCUACGAUUAUAUGAUACCUACUGUUCAGCUGAUGGCUGGUGCUGUGGUGAGCAAAGACAUGGGUUAGUGACAGAUUGCAGUUGCAGCCAAACAGAAAUGUUCCUGCCACUGACUGUGAUUUUCUCACAUGAAAAUUAAGCUCAGUGUAUCCUGGUAUGUAAAGGAGCUUGGGAAGCAGAAUCUAAGACUGAGAAGAUGGGGAGACAGGAAAAUAGAAUAAAUCAGGAGGAGCCCUGCUUUCUACCUGUUGUAGAGGAGGCCCAGUUUCAGGAAGCAGUACUCUAGUGGAAAAUCUCUGCAGCGGCUCUAGUCCUCAAAAUCAGAAGCACACAGGGACCAUCAGGAAGACACUGAAUAAAAUUUCUCCUUGUACCCACA